rnacentral:ncRNA from 2 species
AUGUUUGCAACAAGAUUUGGUUCUCGAUCCUUUAUCAGGCCCUCGAGAUUAAAAGGGAAUUCGGUGAAAUACCGGAGCUGUCCCCGCAACUGUAACCUCGUCCUAAAACUAAUUAGGAUAGUAAUUUACCACCUCCAUUGCCAUUGUUCGUCCCGAUCACUAUCGGGAGAGGACGAGAAGGCCGGUAAAUUCAAGGAAGCCAGGAGACCUGCCUAUUCUUAUCAAAUUCA